rnacentral:rRNA from 1 species
GAUGAACGCUGGCGGUGUGCCUAACACAUGCAAGUCGAGCGGAAAGACGGUGAGCUUUCGCCUUUGACGGUGGCGGGGGACGGGUGAGUAACGCGUGGAUCACCUACUUAUAAUUCGGGGAGAAUUACGGAAAGCCGGAGAUAAUACCACAUAACAUGAUGUACCGGAGGGAGCAACGGAGAAUGACGGCCUUGGUGUCUGUAAUAGCUGGUGCCGCGUCGCAUUGGCUGGUUGGUAAGGUCACGGCUUACCAAGGCUACGAUGCGUGGCCGACCUGAGAGGAUGAUCGGCCACACUGGAACUGAGACACGGUCCAGACUCCUACGGGAGGCAGCAGUGGGGAAUAUUCGGCAAUGGGCGAAAGCCUGACGCAGCCACGCCGCGUGAGUGAAGAAGGCCUUCGGGUCGUAAAGCCCUUUUGUUGGGGAAGAACAGCUGUGGAAUUAUCCACCGCCGUCUUGACGGUACCUAAUCAAAAAGCACCGGCUAACUACGUG